rnacentral:rRNA from 1 species
GCCUGCAGACAUCCCUUUCCUUCAAGCUGUGAUCUCCUCAGAUCUCACAAGCUAAGUACAGUUGGGCCUGAUUGUUUUUAGGAUCAGGCA